rnacentral:tRNA from 1 species
GCCUUCGUGGCGCAAUCGGUUAGCGCGUUCGGCUGUUGGUGGUUCGAGUCCACCCGGGGGCG